AGGGCUAUUGUCUAAUUUUGACACAUUAAGUGAUCAACAUAGUUUUGAUGAUCACUGAACUUUGAUGUCCACUAAAAAUUUAAAGAUUUGGUAUUGCGUAUCUUAGUAAGUGGACAUCAUGUCACGGUGUAUUACGGUGCUUAUCAACGAUUACACCGAACGUCACUAUUUUUUAUCGACAUUAUGCAGCCAAAUUAAAAAUAUAUACAUUUGGUCGUACAUUCCAUAAAUACGUGAGCAUAUUUAAAUCUUACGUGUUAUAUUAACCGGAACACUUGGGAUUUGAAAUGUUUACUCUAUAUGGCGCUAAAUUCAUAACACUUGAAUUUUGGUCUGUCUACAAUUACAAUAAUUUUGGUCGUCGUUUUGUGUACACAAGUGUAUUUGAAAGUUAGAAACAGUAACAAAUGAAUAAAACUGAGUAAGCCAAGAUGAGAGAGUGCCUCGUUGGGCCUAUGAGUUGGAAAGCAAGUGAUUGGCUGUUGAGGAAAGGCAUACAGCUGCUAUAGAAAAAUUAGCUGCAUCACUUACCAAGAUACAGGAAGAUAUACAUAUAUAUAUUAGUAAAUUAAAAUGAUUUUAAAUAG